UACGGAGGAUGCAAGCGUUAUCCGGAUUUAUUGGGUUUAAAGGGUGCGUAGGCGGCUUAUUAAGCGUGAGGUGAAAUGCCAUGGCUUAACCAUGGAACUGCCUCGCGAACUGGUUAGCUGGAAUGCUCCUGCCGUGGGAGGAAUGUGUGGUGUAGCGGUGAAAUGCAUAGAGAUCACACAGAACACCGAUUGCGAAGGCAUCUCACGAAGGGGCGAUUGACGCUGAGGCACGAAAGCGUGGGGAU
rnacentral:rRNA from 1 species